rnacentral:rRNA from 1 species
CGCUAGGAGAAACGCUGGCGGCGCACAUAAGACAUGCAAGUCGAACGGAACUAAGUCGAAUGUUACAUGAGACAAAGUUUAGUGGCGGACGGGUGAGUAACACGUGAGCAACCUGCCUUAGGAGGGGGAUAACAUUGAGAAAUCAGUGCUAAUACCGCAUAACGCAUAAGGUUCGCAUGGACCAAAUGCCAAAGGAGCAAUCCACCUAAAGAUGGGCUCGCGGCUGAUUAGCUAGUUGGUGUGGUAACGGCAUACCAAGGCGAUGAUCAGUAGCCGAGCUGAGAGGCACAACGGCCACAUUGGGACUGAGACACGGCCCAGACUCCUACGGGAGGCAGCAGUCGGGAAUAUUGCACAAUGGAGGAAACUCUGAUGCAGUGACGCCGCGUACAGGAAGAAGGUCUUUGGAUUGUAAACUGUUGUCGACAGGGAAGAAAAAUGACAGUACCUGUGGAGGAAGCUCCGGCAAACUACGUGCCAGCAGCCGC